rnacentral:lncRNA from 1 species
AGACGGGGCCCCUGCGACAGUCUACAAGACAGACAGGGCCCCUGCCCUUUGGACAUCCAUCUGAGUGGGAAAGACAGACAACAAACAGGAAAAAGGGGGUCCUGGCUGAGGAGCUGGUUGGGAGGAGCAUUCUAAUAUGGGAGGGUCUUCUGGGCUUGCAGAGUGCUGUGGAAGUGAGCAGGGAGAUGGGCUCAGAGAGGCCAGCAAAUGCGAAAGGAGGUGUGAGCAUCGUGGAGCUCCAUGAAGACAGGGACCAUGGCCCAUUUGCCCUCCUGGAAUCCUCAGUGCCUGGUCCAGAGCAAGAGCUCAUUAAACAUUGAAGGAACGAAUGAAUGAAUAAGUGAAAUAAUGCUGACUGAGAUAUGGGACAGAGCUGGGGGCUUCAGAGCUGGCCUUGCCUCUGUGGUGCCCCCUGCCAUCCACUGUUCCACGGGAGAUGGACGUCAGCCCCACACUGGCUAGCUCUGUUCCACUCACAUUCAUUCUCUGGUGUUUCCCAGUCCUCCCCCAGAGCCACCGCCUCCAGCCUCCCCUGGCUCAGGGCCAGGCAGCUCUAUCCUCCUGCCGGCUCCUCACUUGGCAGUUUGUCGAGUGGAGACAUCAAGUGGUCAGACCUUGGAAUGGCAGCGGUCAAGCUGAAGAUGGGGAGUGACUGAGCCCUCAUUCAGGAGGACUGAUCCAGCCACAGAUGGGUCUUGACCCUGUGUCCACACUGAACCUUAUCUUGGCUGAGCCCAGACUCCAGCCCGAGAACAAACUCUAACCCUGGUCACAGACUGAGGCCCUGUGCCCCCAAAUACCCCUAAUUUAAAAUUUGUGCUGUAAUGACCUGACACCACUUAAAAAACCUUUUUAUUGAAAUGUAACAUAACAUUGCGAAAAGUGCCCACGUCACAAGAAUUUUCAGGAACUAAACACAUCCAUGUAAUCGAUGCUCACUGCCAGCAUCCCAGUAGCCUUCUCGCAUACCCUUCCAGUCACAACCUCCCAAGGCAAACACUCUCCUGCCUUCUAGCAGCAUAUCUUAAGUUUUGUCUGUUUUCAUGCUUCUAUAUGUUUGAAAUCAUACACUAUAUCCCUUCUGACAUCUGAUUUCUUUUGCUCACCAUUGUGUUGGUAAAAUUAAUCCAUAUUUCUCUGUGUAGUGGUUGAUAGUUCAUACACACUGGUGCCCACUGUUUUACCAACCCACUGAGAAUCUAGCCAAAGGGGUUGAACCCACAUCCGAUCAAGCCUCUGGAUCCAGCUGCCAACUUGCAGGAAGCACAGAGGCAAAAAUUUAUACAUCUCCCAAACCCAUAAACUCAUAAAGGACCACUUCCAUCACUUAACUGCUUGUUCUUAGUAACCCUUAUCUGAAUAGGUAUUUUGUAGCACUUAACUUUGGAGAAUUCACCAGAAAAUAACUGUUUUUACUAAACUGGGCUUCAGCAUUAUACUGUGGGCCUUCAUCAAGAAGAAUUAUGAGAAACAGCCCUAGGAAACCGGUUGCUGGAUUUACCAUCAGGAUCUUGCUGAGGACAGUGUUCAUUCAUUUUGUUCACAGUAGCCUCUCCAUGAGAACUCCAGAAUAAAUUUCUUCCGCAUCCUAAUAAUAUGAAUAGAUAUUUCCCCACAGAGGAAAUGGUUUUACUUUCAGCUAACAGGGCUUUUGAAUCAUGUGAUGGAUCUUGUUUCCCUUUUCACAAUGGUUGCUAGGAAGCUCAGAGUCAGAUUUGUGACCCAUGCCUAGGACUGGGUGAGCUGUGUUGUCUGCACUAAACUCACCCCUGGUUGUUCUUAACUUUCCUUCUCCCAUUUCCUUUUUGUCCCUAUUUCUUCACCUUCCUAUUUUUUGCCUUUUUACUCUUGAAUUGUUAGUUUUUGGGGGAUGCAGUGAGGUGGCCACCUCAGGAACAUAGAAAUGAGAGUAACAAGGGUGUCUAUGAGAGUUAAAUGCAAGGAUCAGCCCAGUCUGUUUGGAGCAGAGAAGUGCAAAGUCUCCAGAUGGAGACAGGACAGCUUCCUGGCACAACACUUGAUUGUAACCUGGGUUUGUGUGGUCCCCAGCAGUGUCCUCGUUCCCCAGCACGGCCUUCUCUCCACACUCCUACCCCACAAUUAACAGACUAAGUUCUGAUCUUGAUAUUUGACCGACUUCCCCCUUCAGACUGUGAGGGUUGCCCACUUCCUAUGUGUGUGUGUGUCCUGCAAUCAAGUGCAACAAUCAACCUGCUACUUAAACAAGAGGAGAUUUAGGACUUUCAGCUAAAAGAACCAUUUUUACAAGAGGGACACUUGAUUGGUUCCUAGCUGUGGUAGCUUACAAGGACUGGGGGCUGGAGGGUCUCCUGAGCAUCUCUGCCUUGUCUUCCUGCACUGUCUCUGUGGCUGGGAGUCCGGACCCAGAGCCAGCAAGUCAGAUAAAGCAGGAGAGGGCGACAUGAUCUGGGCCCCUGGGCACGCCAGUGUUUUCUUUGUUUGCGUCUCUUUUAUACUUUCUGCAGAGCUGGAAGGCAGCUUUUCAAAAUGGCCAUUGCUUCUUUGGGCCAUCUCAGUAGGUAAAGAAACGGUCUUUCUAAUCGCAAGUGAGCAAGGAGGUGUCACAAAGUCUUCCACAUUUCCCCCAGCAGGCAAAGCUCAGUGCUGGCUGCUGUCCUUAACCCUUGCCCCUUGGCUGGUGUCACAGGUGAACAUUAGGACCACAGAGAGUGAGCAUAAUGUCUUGUCUAAACUUUGUAAGGAUCCAAAGGGAUGAUUCACUUUAUCUUCUGAUAGGACAUUUUGUCAAAAUUUCUUUGGACUGGGAAGCAGGGCUGUUUUCCUGGUCAUAAGGGCCCCCCUUGGUAGAGCAGACAGCAGGGGACUCAGCAUCCUAGGAGUUUCUAACGAUGGCCUCCGUGCUAGGCAGAAUAAUGGUCUCCCCAGAUAGCUGCAUCUUAACCCUAGGAAUUUGUGACUGUGUUGCCUCACGUGGCAGAAGGCACUCUGCAGACGUGAUUAGGUUAAGGAUCCUGAGAUGGGAACUUUAGCCUGGAUUAUCCAGGUGGGCCCAAUGGAAUCACAAAGUCCUGGUAAGAGGCAGGCAGGGUCAAAGUCAGAGAAGGAGAAAUAAGGACAGGAAGCAGAGUCCUGUGAUGCAACUGCUGGCUUAAAGAGGCAUGAGGGCCAUGAGCCAUGGAAUGUGGGCAGCUACUAGAAGCUGGAAAGGCCAGGAUCAGAUUCUACUCGGAGCCUCCAGAAGGAAGACGGCUCUGCUGGCCCCUUGAUUUCAGGGACAGAGGAGUGCCUCUUUGCCUGGGCGAGGCCUGGUCAUCCUUCAGAUCUCAGCUCAACACAUUGCCUUUCCAGGGAUGGCUUUUCUGACCCCCGGGCCAGAUCAGAAAAUCGUCACAGAGACCAAUUAAGAAGCUUGCAUGUAAAAAGUGGCAGAGCUGGGAUCCGAACCCUGGCAGUCUGGCUCUGGACACCACCUCUUGCCCAUCGCCCUCCACUGCUGUGCUGAUCUGUCGUCCUUCCCUCCCACUGCCAGUUCCCCUUUCCGUCCAACAGUUACUUAUUGAUCAGUCGCUCUGUUCCAAGCACUGUGCCAGUAGGGCCCAGCCCUUGUGGAGGUGACAGUCUGUCAGGUGGAGCCCUGGCUCUGCCAUGUCCUGAUCCCGUGACCUUGGAGAAGUCAUUUAACUUCGCUGUGUCUCAGUGUCUUCGUGAUGACAUGGUGUGAUAGUCCCGGUCUCCUCAGGCUGUGGGGAAGAUGGAGUGACUCAAAGCUGCGGAAAGCUGGGGCCGGGCACACGGAGGGCAUGGGAAGCAUGAGUGUAAUCCUAUUGGUGUCAUACUGGAGAAGCUCUUCCAACCCACGGGGCCUGGCCGCCAAGUGGAAGAGUGGAAGCAGCAGCAAGCCAGAGCCCGACACCCUGGCCUUAAGCCCUGGCUUUGGCACCGUGACUGUCCCAAACAUGGGAUUUUGGACAAGCUGCUUCGUCUUUCUGAUUUUUUUCCUCUGUAAAACAGGAAUGACUAAUACCAACCUUGUGGUGUCCUUGUGGUUGUUCAAUGAAGUAACAAGGCUGAGAGCUUGGCACAUAAUAGGGGCCUUUGGAAGAUUUCGUUUCCUGUCCUCUAGAGGAAUCGGGAGGCGGAAUAGCCCAGGGGUCAGCACAUCUGGAGGUCUGACGUGUCCCCUUCUCCCAGGGAAGGCCCCGACCUGACACGCUGCAGGAUGCUGUUUUCUUCUUUCGCUUCCUUUCUUUGUUCCUGUUCGAAUUUCGUUUCUUGAGAAAGAAGAGUGUUUCACACAGCCCCGCCCAUGCAUGGGGCUCUGUGUUAACUGUCCUGGUGCCUGGCAGAGGGCUCCGUCUUGGUCUUUUGUCCCCCAGGGCAGAUGGAGGACAGUUGGUGGGUGUGGGGUCGCAGGGCUGCUCUGCUCGUAAGGCCCCGAGAAACCAGAGGGCAGGCUGGGAGCUGAGGGCUGAGAGGCAGCUGAGGACUGGGAAGCCCCGUCUGGUCCAGCCUCCUCCAAGGUCAAGGGGUGUCCUGGCCCCCCUCUCUCCCCUCCCAU